GCGCGAGCUAUAUUGCACAAUGGGGGAAACCCUGAUGCAGCCAUGCCGCGUGUGUGAAGAAGGCCUUCGGGUUGUAAAGCACUUUCAGCGAGGAGGAAAGGUUGGUAGCUAAUAACUGCCAGCUGUGACGUUACUCGCAGAAGAAGCACCGGCUAACUCCGUGCCAGCAGCCGCGGUAAUUAAAA
rnacentral:rRNA from 1 species